rnacentral:rRNA from 1 species
GAUUAGAGUUUGAUCAUGGCUCAGAUUGAACGCUGGCGGCAGGCCUAACACAUGCAAGUCGAGCGGAUGAAAGGGGCUUGCUCCUGGAUUCAGCGGCGGACGGGUGAGUAAUGCGCAGGGAUCUACCUAGUAGUGGGGGAUAACGUUUCGAAAGGGGCGCUAAUACCGCAUACGUUCUGAGGAAGAAAGCAGGGGAUCGUAAGACCUUGCGCUAUUAGAUGAGCUUGCGUCCGAUUAGCUAGUUGGUGGGGUAAAGGCCUACCAAGGCGACGAUCGGUAACUGGUCUGAGAGGAUGAUCAGUCACACUGGAACUGAGACACGGUCCAGACUCCUACGGGAGGCAGCAGUGGGGAAUAUUGGACAAUGGGGGCAACCCUGAUCCAGCCAUGCCGCGUGUGUGAAGAAGGCCCUCGGGUUGUAAAGCACUUUAAGCGGGGAGGAAGGCCUGAUGGUUAAUACCCAUUGGGAUUGACGUACCCGCAGAA